rnacentral:lncRNA from 1 species
CCCGCAGAAAAACUAAGUCCAUUUAAAAGUAAAAUACGGAAAAAAUGGAUUUAUUUUUUUACAAAAUUUACUUCUGGAUACUAUCUUAUGAUCAUAAACAAGCUUCUGUCCAAGUUUGGUACAAACCAAGGAUAGUUUAAGAAAGUUAUUAAAACUUUAAAAACUUUAACCACAGAGUGAAUGUAAUGUUUCCCCGCAGAAAAAAC